UAAGUAGAUACAAAAUCGGGUGAAUUGCAAGAACAUCUUAUCUUGAGAUAAGACAACUUGCAGCUAAGCUUAAAUCAGUGCCCAUCUAUAUAUAAAUAUAUAUAUAUUAGAUAGUGAUUUAAGAAAGUUCAACGACUAAUCGGUGAGUUGCACUAACAAUAAUCCGGACACGAGCGCCCGAC
rnacentral:ribozyme from 1 species